GCCAGGCACAGUGGCGUGUGCCUGUAAUCCCAGCGGCCUGGGAGGCUGAGUCAGGAGGAUUGCGAGUUCAAAGCCAGCCUCAGCAAAGGCAAGGUACUUAGCAAAUUCAGUGAGAACCUGUCUCUA
rnacentral:sRNA from 1 species